rnacentral:tRNA from 1 species
GCGGGCGUGGCGGAAUGGCAGACGCGCCGGACUUAGGAUCCGGUUCCAGCGAUGGAGUGGAGGUUCAAGUCCUCUCGCCCGCACCA